rnacentral:misc_RNA from 1 species
GAAACUAAAUGAUAUGCACAGUACAAGAGAAGCAUGCAUUACUGGGACUGAUGCAAAAAUGAUGACAAGCCACUAAAACAUAAGAUGAAAAGUUCAUAUUCCUAUGCUAACUCUCCACGUUGAGAGCAUUAAAAGGGGACUAAUUAACGAACCCGCCAAGCAAAUUUAACCAGAAGGCGCCAACUUAUUGAACAAAAUACAAGACAAGAUUCAACAAAACCCAUAAGAAAUAAAUGACUAUCUAAUUAUGAUAACAGUAAUGAAUCAGUAUGGAUUUCGAGGGCACCUUCAAAUGAGCUGCAGCCUUAU